GUUCUUCCAACUGAAAGUCCCCCAGCUCUGCGGGAACUUGGCUGUGAUGACCUUCCUGGCCCCUCUAGUAGUGCUUGACUGGUUGGCGAUUCUUUCCUAAGUGCCAUUGUUGGGUGGUAGAGGCAGCGAAAGUGCAGGGGUAGGGGGGAGCGAGGUCUCUCCCAACGUCCUGGGCUUUGCCAUGUGGAAGAUUUUUCGUUGGUCUCCCCGGGCUACCUGCACUUCACAGAAGAUAAUCACCGUUACUGGCCCUGUUCUCGACCCUAAUAUUAAGAGAAGCAGACUUGGGUAUGGCAACAUCAAAGAAAAAGGUCUCAAGAAGAUCCACAGAGCUGCUCUCAUUGGCAAUGUCUGUGAAGUGGAGGCACUUAUUCUGCGGCGUAAAAGGGCCUUGAAUGAGAUGGACUCGCAACACAGGACUCCCCUCCAUUUGGCCGCAGCCCAUGGUCACAGUGCAGUGGUCACUCUGCUUGCAGAGAGAAAAUGCGACCUUAACCUGCGUGAUGCUGAGCACAGGACAGCUCUGGUGAAGGCAGUACAAAACCAGGAAGAAGAUUGUGUACGUAUUCUUCUAGAACAUGGUGCUGAUCCAGAUAUUUUGGACGCUGAUGGCAACUCUGCGCUCCACUAUGCUGUUCAAAAUGAAAAUGAGUCCAUAAUAACAAAGCUGCUUUUACACAAAGCAAAUAUUGAGGUACCAAACAAGAUUGGAUAUACACCACUUUUAUAUGCUGUGAGUCAAAAAAAAAUAAAUUAAUAGAGUUUUUGCUAAGCAAGGGAGCAAAUAUAAAUGCUGUUGAUAGUUUUGGAAGAUCAGCCCUCGCGUUUGCUGCAUGCCAUGAUUCACCAGAGGUCAUUCAUAUUCUCCUCCGGCAUGGCAUUGAUUGCUCUUCUGAAGAUCGGGGUGGAAGGACUGCUGACCAGUAUGCUCUUCUUCAUGGUUAUAUUAACAAUCACAAAAUAAUACUUGACCAUAAAAGUGGAAAGGACCAACAGAACAAAAAGAAUGAAAACGAAAAGGAAGAAAUGAAGGAAAAUGAUAAAAAGAAGGAAGAGAAUGAUCUAGUUGAAUGGACAGAAGUACACACAUUUUCAGGACCAGGAUCAAGCACAGAUUCAAGUAAAGCAAAAAAAGAAUUCUCACAAGGACACUCUUAAGAGGCGUCCCAUGAAACUAAACUUUGAUGAUUCGUGUUCUACAUUAUCCAAAAUCGUAGAUUUUGAAACUAAGGUAAUGUGAGCUUUGUGAAAUGUUCUGCUGUAUUUCGUUUCCAUUUAGUAUCUCAGUGUGGCAUUCAUUCAUUCAUGAAUUAUUGCCCCAUUGGUUUCCUUUUUCUUUCUGUCUUGAAAGAAGCUGACUUUAUUAAUAAAUUGUUUUAA